UGAAAACAGCGAGUCAAGCGGCUGCAAAUGCCAUGCUCGCAUGAGCAUUUGCAGACAUUUGACGAGUGCCCAAACAUGAGGAAGAAGCCGUUUUGCGCGCGCUUUUCGCGCAAAACGAGCGGAUUCCGAAUGGUUGGAGCGGGCUGGGAGCGUGUAAGCGCGACAGCACGCGUAGUUUUCA
rnacentral:sRNA from 1 species